CCCUCAUACAAGUGGACGCUUCCAUCGGGUAGCCUUCACCGGAGCAGCAUCCUCACUUUCGAAUCUGCAGCUGCUGAACAUGAGGGCAAGUACACCUGUACUGUCAGCAACGGCUAUUGGAACUUCACUGAGGAGUUUCAUGUGAAAGUCCAUGCCAACAACAUCGUAUACAUUAUACUUGGUAUACUAUUUGCUGUUGUUCUGCUUGUCAUCAUUGGUGUUAUCAUAUGGACCCGCGACUACAAAAACGAACGAACGGGACAAUACGACUUUGCGCGUUAGCUGCUUUUGCUCACCACAUUCCGCCGUGCCCACCGUAGAGUGAAGAGUUGUAUGAAUGAAAAGAAAAUAACUUGCUCUAUUCACACUGAAACUUAACUUUCGGUAAAGCUCAGUUGAAAACUGUGUUCACUGUUUAAGGAGGGAUGUACAUAGCUUGGAGUAUUUUGUGAAUUGGUGAGUGAGUGAACAUUUCUCAGCUCAUAUCUUCUGAUCCGGUUUAUCAGAUAACUUAUCUGACACAGCAGGGUUAUGCUGUCUUUUUAUGUUCCAGUCCGACUGAAUAAUGACAUCUCUCUUUUCGUGUCUGUAGUGGUCAGUUCAUUUGUGUCUAAUAAGGAUAAGAGACAGGUCACAUGAUUUUUAACUGCUCUUUUCAGCAGGGCACUAUGUUUUGUUAUCAAACAUUAUUCUUAUAGGAUAAAAGGGCAUUUGGUCAAAGACUAUUUUCAGCUCCAGGGUAAUAUAUAUUUGAUGUUAUUACACAAGCUAUGUCUACAUUCUCUUAGUAUUGGUGUAAACUUUACAGAUUUGAGUUUAAGUAACUACUUGUUAGUUUGUUUGUUCAUAGUUUGGUAAAAUGGAAAGACGCUGUUUGAAGUUGAGAUGUUCACUCUUAUCACAUUAAAACAGGUUUCUUAUGUGAACUGAUAGGAGGUAAACCUCAAGAGUGAAAAUAGUCUAUAAAUACAGAUGUUUAGAUCCAAAAGAACUUGAGAAAAUGUGUAAUAUUGUCAUGUGCCAAAUCUCAAUCAAUUUCAAUAUAAAGUGAAAGUGCUGUUA